rnacentral:rRNA from 1 species
GAUGAACGCUGGCGGCGUGCCUAACACAUGCAAGUCGAGCGAUUCUCUUCGGAGAAGAGCGGCGGACGGGUGAGUAACGCGUGGGUAACCUGCCCUGUACACACGGAUAACAUACCGAAAGGUAUGCUAAUACGAGAUAAUAUGCUUUUAUCGCAUGGUAGAAGUAUCAAAGCUUCGGCGGUACAGGAUGGACCCGCGUCUGAUUAGCUAGUUGGUAAGGUAACGGCUUACCAAGGCGACGAUCAGUAGCCGACCUGAGAGGGUGAUCGGCCCCAUUGUAACUGCGACACGGUCCAAACUCCUACGGGAGCAAGCAGUUGGAAAUAUUGCACAAUGGGCGAAAGCCUGAUCCAGCAACGCCGCGUGAGCGAUAAAGGCCUUCGGGUCGUAAAGCUCUGUCCUCAAGGAAGAUAAUGACGGUACUUGAGGAGGAAGCCCCGGCUAACUACAUGCCAGCCGCCGCCGUAACAC